UACGUAGGGUGCGAGCGUUAAUCGGAAUUACUGGGCGUAAAGCGUGCGCAGGCGGUUCGUUAAGUCAGAUGUGAAAGCCCCCGGCUCAACCGGGAAACUGCACGGGAAACUAGCAGGCUUGAGUUCGGGAGAGGGAAGCGGAAUUUCGGGUGUAGCGGUGAAAUGCGCAGAUAUCCGAAGGAACACCGGUGGCGAAGGCGGCUUCCUGGACCGACACUGACGCUGAGGCGCGAAAGCUAGGGGAGCAAACGGG
rnacentral:rRNA from 1 species